ACACCCUGUACCGCCCAAAACUGACAUUUGAUUCACUCUCCCCAUAUAGAGAAUCCGUGUUAUCAAAACCAUCACUUUCAGUAUCAGAGAGAACCCGCCUCCAUCUUCUAGACCCAAUUGGUGUAGUACGGGAACUUCUGCGGUGUGAUAUCCUGGCAGCAGAAUCACCAUCCACAGGUAGAUCCUCAAUCCCAGAACCAGGGAACUGAUUUUGCCGCACCUGAUUAAUCAUAUUUGGAAACAUCUGGAAGAAAGCUUCCUCAACCUCAGCUGACUCAGAACUACUGUACCUAGCCCUUCUUCUUCUAGACCCAAUUGGUGUAGUACGAGAACUUCUGCGGUGUGCUAUCCUGGCAGCAGAAUCACCAUCCACAGGUAGAUCCUCAAUCCCAGAGCCAGGGGACUGAUUUUGCCGCACCAGAUUUGGGAACAUCUGGAAGAAAGCUUCCUCAACCUCAACUGACUCAGAACUACGUUGCCUAGCCCUUCUUCUCCUAGACGGCCUCCUCCGAUAAGAAUCACGA
rnacentral:lncRNA from 1 species